UCCAGACUCCUACGGGAGGCAGCAGUGAGGAAUAUUGGUCAAUGGGCGAGAGCCUGAACCAGCCAAGUCGCGUGAAGGAUGACGGCCCUACGGGUUGUAAACUUCUUUUGUCAGGGAGCAAUUGGGUCCACGCGUGGGCUUAGCGAGAGUACCUGAAGAAAAAGCAUCGGCUAACUCCGUGCCAGCAGCCGCGGUAAUACGGAGGAUGCGAGCGUUAUCCGGAUUUAUUGGGUUUAAAGGGUGCGUAGGCGGUCCGGAAAGUCGGGGGAAAAAGCCCGGGGCUCACCCCCGGCGAGCCGUUGAAACUGGUUUUCUUGAGUGAGCGAGAAGUAUGCGGAAUGCGUGGUGUAGCGGUGAAAUGCAUAGAUAUCACGCAGAACUCCGAUUGCGAAGGCAGCAUACCGGCGCUCAACUGACGCUCAUGCACGAAAGUGUGGGUAUCGAACAGGAUUAGAUACCCGCGUACG
rnacentral:rRNA from 1 species